UCGCCUGUUAACAAAAACAUGUCCUUUUGAAUAUAUUUAAGGUCUAACCUGCCCAAUGAGGAUUUAAAUGGCCGCAGUAUUUUGACUGUGCAAAGGUAGCAUAAUUAUUAGUUUUUUAAUUGAAAGCUUGUAUGAAGGGUUGGACGAGAUAAAAUCUGUCUUUAUUUAAAUUAAAAUAGAAUUUAACUUUUAAGUCAAAAGGCUUAAAUUUUUAUAAAAGACGAGAAGACCCUAUAGAUCUUUAUUUAAUUAAUAUUUUGAUAAUUUAAGAUUAUUUUAAUUUAAAAUUUUAAUUGAAUUUUAUUGGGGUAAUAUAAAGAUUAAAAAAAUUCUUUUUAUUUAUAACAUUAAUUUAUGAAUAUAUGAUCCAAUAUUAUUGAUUAUAAGAUUAAGUUACCUUAGGGAUAACAGCGUAAUUUUUUUGGAGAGCUCAUAUCGAUAAAAAAGUUUGCGA
rnacentral:rRNA from 1 species